CUCACCAAAUCAACUCCCAUUUCACAUGAUUUCUCCUCUAGGGAAGAGUAAGCAAGGAGAAGAUAUUCACUGGAUUUAGCUAUUUAUAAUUGCUGUUGAACAGCCUUCUCCUGGCACUGCCAAGCUCUGUCCAAGAACAAAGAAUGCUCUUGAUCUGAACUAAAGAGCCUCUGUACUGAAGCUGCAGACAACCACUAUGCAAAAUGGUCAGAAGCUAUGUAACGUUCACAACAUGCAAAGGCUCAGUAUGUUCUCCCUCACACAUGUUCCUUCCUCUCACAAGAACAGAAGGAUGGCAGAGAGGAUGGGAGAGUCAGUUUACAGAUGGUCAGCAGCUAGCUAAGAUUAAAACUGAAUCUCUGCAGACAAAGAUGAUGUAUUGGCGGGUGGAAGAUACAGCACUGAACAGCUUACAGCAAGAUGCAUGCUCAUGUGAUGGAUGUCAUGCAUGCCACAAUUACUCAGUUUAUCCUGUAUUUUAGGAAUAAAUUUGGAUUUCUCACUGAAA